rnacentral:rRNA from 1 species
GACGAACGCUGGCGGCGUGCUUAACACAUGCAAGUCGAACGGUGAAGCGCCUUCCUUUUUGGUGGGUGUGGAUGAGUGGCGAACGGGUGAGUAACACGUGAGUAACCUGCCCCCUUCUUCUGGAUAACCGCAUGAAAGUGUGGCUAAUACGGGAUAUUCUGGGUCUGUCGCAUGAUGAGUCUGGGAAAGAUAUUGUUUCGGUGGGGGAUGGGCUCGCGGCCUAUCAGCUUGUUGGUGGGGUGAUGGCCUACCAAGGCGGUGACGGGUAGCCGGCCUGAGAGGGUGGACGGUCACACUGGGACUGAGACACGGCCCGGACUCCUACGGGAGGCAGCAGUGGGGAAUAUUGCACAAUGGGCGCAAGCCUGAUGCAGCGACGCCGCGUGAGGGAUGGAGGCCUUCGGGUUGUGAACCUCUUUCGCCAGUGAAGCAGGCCUGCCUCGUUUGUGGGUGGGUUGACGGUAGCUGGAUAAGAAGCGCCGGCUAACUACGUG